GAUGAACGCUAGCUACAGGCUUAACACAUGCAAGUCGAGGGGCAGCAUGAACUUAGCUUGCUAAGUUUGAUGGCGACCGGCGCACGGGUGAGUAACACGUAUCCAACCUGCCGAUGACUCGGGGGAUAGCCUUUCGAAAGAAAGAUUAAUACCCGAUGGCAUAGUUCUUCCGCAUGGUAGAACUAUUAAAGAAUUUCGGUCAUCGAUGGGGAUGCGUUCCAUUAGGUUGUUGGCGGGGUAACGGCCCACCAAGCCUUCGAUGGAUAGGGGUUCUGAGAGGAAGGUCCCCCCACAUUGGAACUGAGACACGGUCCAAAACUCCUACGGGAGGCAGCAGUGAGGAAUAUUGGUCAAUGGACGAGAGUCUGAACCAGCCAAGUAGCGUGAAGGAUGACUGCCCUAUGGGUUGUAAACGUUCUUUUAUACGGGAAUAAAGUGAGGCACGUGUGCCUUUUUGUAUGUACCGUAUGAUAAGGAUCGGCUAACUCCGUG
rnacentral:rRNA from 1 species